GACAGAGGGGGCAAGCGUUGCUCGGAAUCACUGGGCGUAAAGGGCGCGUAGGCGGGAUGGCAAGUCGGUCGUGAAAUCCUUCGGCUCAACCGAAGAACGUCGGCCGAUACUGCCGUUCUUGAGGGAUGCAGAGGAGAUUGGAAUUCCCGGUGUAGCGGUGAAAUGUGUAGAGAUCGGGAGGAACACCGGUGGCGAAGGCGGGUCU
rnacentral:rRNA from 1 species